rnacentral:rRNA from 1 species
AGUGAACGCUGGCGGUAGGCCUAACACAUGCAAGUCGAACGGCAGCACAGUAAGAGCUUGCUCUUACGGGUGGCGAGUGGCGGACGGGUGAGGAAUACAUCGGAAUCUACUUUUUCGUGGGGGAUAACGUAGGGAAACUUACGCUAAUACCGCAUACGACCUACGGGUGAAAGCAGGGGAUCUUCGGACCUUGCGCGAUUGAAUGAGCCGAUGUCGGAUUAGCUAGUUGGCGGGGUAAAGGCCCACCAAGGCGGCGAUCCGUAGCUGGUCUGAGAGGAUGAUCAGCCACACUGGAACUGAGACACGGUCCAGACUCCUACGGGAGGCAGCAGUGGGGAAUAUUGGACAAUGGGCGCAAGCCUGAUCCAGCCAUACCGCGUGGGUGAAGAAGGCCUUCGGGUUGUAAAGCCCUUUUGUUGGGAAAGAAAAGAAGAAGGUUAAUACCCCGAUGUUCUGACGGUACCCAAAGAAUAAGCACCGGCUAACUUCGUG